ACUUCCCGCCAGUUCCCCUGCGGGCCUCCACGCCCCACCCGCCGCCGCCUCGACCGGGAGCUACAUGUCACUUCACCUUUGCUUUUAGUAGCCCUGCAGGAGCGCUCGCACGCUGGGAGCGCGGUGGAGCUCAGAGUUGGGCGCGAGCCCGGCGGGGCCGCAGGCUCCGCCCUGCCCCGCCCGGGCUCGGGGGAAGGCCUCCGCAGGGACAUGUCCUGCCCCCUUCGGCGAGGGCAGGAAAGAGUGAAAGGCUGCGGAGCUGUUAGAGAACGAAAUGUCAUCAGUGGAAUCACACCAGGAACAAUUGUCCCAGUCAGAUCCAUCCCCAUCACCAAACUCAUGUAGUUCCUUUGAGCUAAUAGACAUGGAUGCCAGCAGUUUGUAUGAACCAGUUUCUCCUCAUUGGUUUUACUGUAAGAUAAUAGAUUCUAAGGAGACAUGGAUUCCUUUCAACUCUGAGGAUUCACAGCAACUGGAAGAGGCAUAUGACAAUGGAAAAGAUUGUAAUGGGAGAGUUGUCCCCACUGACGGGGGCAGAUACGAUGUUCAUUUGGGGGAGAGGAUGCGGUACGCUGUGUACUGGGACGAGCCAGCAUCAGAAGUGAGACGAUGUACCUGGUUUUACAAGGGAGACAAAGACAAUAAGUAUGUCCCAUACUCGGAGAGCUUCAGCCAAGUAUUGGAGGAAACUUACAUGCUUGCUGUAACUCUGGAUGAAUGGAAAAAGAAACUGGAAUCUCCCAACAGAGAAAUUAUUAUAUUACACAAUCCAAAGCUUAUGGUGCAUUACCAGCCAGUUGCAGGGUCUGAUGAGUGGGGUUCAACACCCACUGAGCAGGGUCGACCACGAACAGUGAAGAGGGGGGUUGAGAACAUCUCUGUUGACAUUCAUGGUGGUAAUGUUAAUCAUUCUUCUUUUUUCUUCUGGUAUACUUAUCUGUUUACCUCUCGUGGCCUUUAUCUAUGGCUUUUGAUUACCUCAAGGCUUAAAAAUUUUCUUUAAUCAAAUGGGCUUCCAAGUGAACAUGAGCAUUACUUCAUCUACUAAGAAUCUGAAUUAGGUCAAAAAGGUUAAAGUUGCCAAGUAUAUGAUCGAAUGGAUAAAAUUUGGCAGUACUAAUCAGGAAGUCACUAAGUACAAAUGAACUGAUUGAGUCCUAAUUCUGAGAAGUAUAAUUCCCCUUGCUUGAUUAUUCAUUUAUUCCUGGUAACUCCUACCUUUAAGGGUUUUCAAUUAGGGAAAACUGUUUUUCAGUAGGACCUUAAUGGUUAUCCAUUGCUGUCUAGCUUGGGUCAUUUAUGGUUGGUUUUAUAAUGUAUUUAACUAGAUUAUAAAAUUCCUCUCAUCUUGCAGAGGAGAUGGCUUGUCUCUUGGAUAAAGUCUCAGACUUACUGUAAUUUAAGAAGAUGAGUUUAGGAGUUCUCUUGUGGCACAGUGGGUUAAGAAUUCAGCCUUGUCACUGUAGUGGCUUGGGUCGCUGCUGUGGUGAGGGUUCAAUCCUUGGGCCAGGGAACUUCUGCAUGCUGCGGGCAUAGCCCCGCUACCCCCCAAAAAGAUGAGUUUAAUGACAGUUCAAGGUUGCCACAAAUCUUCUAUUUGUAAACAACAAUAAAACUCAACAUUUGUGAAGUGCAAUAGAGUGAAGUACGAUAGGAAAAAAAUAAAAAGAUGAGUUUAAGAUUUCAGGCCUCAAAAUACGUACCAGACACUGUUGGUACAAUUGAUAAAAAUGGGAUAUUAGAUAAAAAUAUUCUGUCAGUGUUAAACUGCCUAAAUUCAGUAACUGCCCUGUGGUUAUAUAAGAGAAUAUUCUUAGGAAAUACAUAUUAAAAUACUAAAGGGUUGAAGAGGUAUGAUGUGUGCAGGCUCCUGAAUAAUUCAGAAAAAGAAAUGGGUGUGAAUACACAUACACAUAGAGUAAUAAAGCAAAUAUUAAAGUGUUGAAUCUGUGUAAACAGGACAUGAAAGUUUUACUCUUCUUUCAUGUGGUUUGUAAGAGUCCAACUGUUUCAAAAUAAAAUGUUUUAAAACCCCCCCAAAUUUUUUUACCAACUUAUUUCAAGAUAAAUUAGAAACCAAGUUAAAAAAUCACUGUUAUUACUAAUUAGUCACUGUAUAUUUAGUAGUUAUAAAUGUAGGACUGUUUAUGUCCUUUAAAAUAUCUGCUCUUGUUUAUUUAUUUAUUUAUUUAUUUAUGGCCUCACCUGCAGCAUAUGGAAGUUUCCAUGCUAGGGGUCAAAUCAGAGCUGCAGCUGCCAGCCUGCACCGCAGUCACAGACACAGCGGAUCUGAGCUGUGUCUUCGACCUACACAACAGCUCAUGGCAACGCUAGAUCCUUAACCCACUGAACAAGGCCAGGGGUUGAACCUGCGUCCUCAUGGAUACUAGUCGGGUUCUUAACCCAUUGAGCCAUAACGGGAACUCCUCUGCUCUUUUUUUCACUUGCCCAUUUCAAAUUACCUAUUUGUUGUGAAUGUCAAUCUUAGAAUACAUGAUGAGUUAUACAGAAUGAUUUUUCUUUGUAAUUUCAUUUGUAGGGGAACCUUUACAAAUAGAUCACUUGGUUUUUGUAGUCCAUGGGAUCGGACCAGCUUGUGAUCUCCGCUUUCGAAGCAUUGUACAGUGUGGUAGGUGUGCAGAGCAAAAGAGAUUAAAUCAUUUAAGGGGACUGUUACUGCUCCUGUGAAUUGAGAUCAGGUGUUGUCUUUCAUCUGUUGUCUUAGCUGCAUAAUAAGAUUUGGAGAGCUAAAGGCCAGCAGCAUGGUGGUAAAGCUUCCCAGCUUAGAUUUAAAAGUGCCAGUAAACUCCUUAGGCUAAUAGGUUUAUUCUCUUAACUAACAGUUCUUGAGUGAGCAAGCCCUCAAGCCUAAUAAAAUGGUUUCAGGAUGUGAUUCCUGUUUCUGACCAUUCCUGAUAUAAAGGGAAUCUAUUUAUAAAUAUAUAACCAUAAAGGUAAUAUAGUUUAAUGAAUAACAGAAGCUCGGUCUUUUUUGUAAUUCAACUUUCAUAAACCUCUUGACAUUCUAAUUGGAAUGUUUAGGUGGUUAGUGUAACUUGAUUUCGAAAGGUAAGUUCUUCUAAAACUUGGUAGUAUUCAUCGUCUAAUUGCCCCAGUUCUGGAAUCUGAUCCUAAUGGCUAAGGCUUCUAAGCGUAAACCUUCUAGAAGGUUAAGCUCUACGUGAUAUGAAUUCCAGACAGCAGUUUUUAAUCCAAAAUAUUGGGUAACGGUUGUUUAUGAGAACCAGAAAGUUAGGAUAGGAAUCUGACUGCAAGGCCAAUUGACAUAGUCAUGUGAUUAAAAAAAAAUUUGAAACUGUUCCCAUGACACAGUAAAAUUUUUGAAGUUAGCAGGGUUUUCUUUGAUCAAAUAUUUUUAUAGUAAAAGCAAAUUCUAUAUUAAAGAAAUGUCUUUUUCUAUAUACAAGGUUAAUUUUUUCUGAUACCACUUUUUUUUUGGCUUUUCUACAUGGAAGUUCCCAGGCUAGUGGGUCUAAUCGGAGGUGUAGUCACCGGCCUAUGCCAGAGCCACAGCAACUCGGGAUCCAAGCCGAGUCUGUAACCUACACCGCAGCUCACGGCAAUGCCAGAUCCUUAACUGACUGAACAAGGCCAGGAUCAAACCCGCAACCUCAUGGUUCCUAGUCGGAUUUGUUGACCACUGAGCCUCGAUGGGAACUCCUGAUACCACUGUUUUUGACUCAGGUCAAUAGGUGCUCUAAGCAAAUGAUGAUAGGCUUAGUGUAACUAUAUGAUCAUUGCAUCCUAAUCCUGAGAAUCCACUGCUUCACUGUUUAAUUUUCUUUUCCAGUUAAUGAUUUUCGCAGUGUUUCUUUGAACCUGCUGCAGACACAUUUCAAGAAAGCCCAUGAAAAUCAUCAGAUUGGGAGGGUAGAGUUUCUCCCAGUCAACUGGCACAGUCCUUUACAUUCCACUGGUGUGGAUGUAGAUCUGCAGCGAAUAACCCUGCCCAGCAUUAACCGCCUAAGGCACUUCACCAACAACACGAUUCUGGAUGUCUUCUUCUACAAUAGCCCCACCUACUGUCAGACUAUUGUGGACACAGUUGCUUCUGAAAUGAACAGAAUAUAUAAGCUUUUUCUGCAGAGGAACCCAGAUUUCAAAGGAGGUGUUUCCAUUGCUGGUCAUAGUUUAGGUUCGCUUAUAUUGUUUGAUAUCCUAACAAAUCAGAAGGAUUCUUUGGGGGAUAUUGACAGUAAAAAGGAUUCGCCAUCUGUUUUCAUGGAUCAAGGAGAUACACCAACACUGGAGGAAGACCUGAAGAAACUUCAACUCUCUGAAUUCUUUAGUAUCUUUGAGAAGGAGAAAGUAGAUAAAGAAGCUCUGGCUUUAUGUACGGACAAAGAUCUUCAGGAAAUGGGAAUUCCCUUAGGACCAAGAAGGAAAAUAUUAAACUACGUUCAGACCAGAAGAAAUUCAGUGGGUAUUAAUAGACCAAGUCCGCAAUCAGCUGCAGGGAUGAACAUGUCUAACAUUCCCAAAGAAUCAGAGCACUGCGGUGAUACUAAUGAGACCGGAAACGAUGAGUAUCUGGACGUUGGCAUUGGGCAGGUAACAUUAUAUUGUUUGCCAUUCGUAUGGUGGAAAUACAGGUAACCUUUGUUGUUUUUUAUUUUAUUUUAUUUUAUUUUAUUUUUUAUUUGUUGUCUUUUUAGGGCCGCACCCAUAGCAUAUGGAAGUUCCAAGGCUAGGGGUUGAGUUGGAACUGUAGCUGCUGCCCUGCAUCACAGCUACAGCAAUGCAGGAUCCGAGCUGCGUCUGUGACCUACACCACAGCUCUCGGCAACGCCAGAUCCUUAACCCACUGAGCGAGGGCAGGGAUUGAACCCACAUCCUCAUAGAUCCUGGUCAGGUUCAUAAACCACCAAGCCAUGACGGGAACUCCUGUAACUUCUGUUAUUAAUGAGAGAUGCUUUUAUUUCCUCCCUCCAGGUGUCUGUUAAAUACCCCCGGCUCACUUAUAAACCAGAAAUAUUCUUUGCCUUUGGAUCUCCCAUUGGAAUGUUUCUUACUGUCCGAGGACUAAAAAGAAUUGACCCCAACUACAAAUUUCCAACAUGCAAAGGUUUCUUCAAUAUUUAUCACCCCUUUGAUCCUGUGGCCUAUAGGAUUGAACCAAUGGUGGUCCCAGGAGUGGAAUUUGAGCCAAUGCUGAUCCCGCAUCAUAAGGGCAGAAAGCGGAUGCACUUAGAACUGAGAGAGGGCUUAACCAGGAUGAGCAUGGACCUUAAAAACAACUUGCUGGGUUCGCUGCGGAUGGCCUGGAAGUCGUUCACCAGAGCGCCAUACCCUGCCUUACAAGCUUCAGAAACUGUAGACGAAACUGAAGCAGAACCUGAAUCAAGUUCAGAGAAGCCUAGUGAUGUUAACACAGAUGAGAACCCUGUGGCAGUUAAAGAAGACAUGCCCCCCAUCCACGUGGGAAUGCUGAACGGAGGCCAGCGCAUUGACUAUGUGCUGCAGGAGAAGCCCAUUGAAAGUUUUAAUGAGUAUUUAUUUGCUUUGCAAAGCCAUCUGUGCUAUUGGGAGUCUGAAGAUACAGUAUUGCUAGUCCUCAAAGAAAUCUACCAAACCCAGGGUAUCUUCCUUGAUCAGCCUUUACAGUAAAAAUGAAUCACUUCUGGCUGCUUAAUACAGACACAGGGAUCCUUCCCCAGAAAACCCACCUCUUGUCACUGGAGUUUCCCUCUCCUCAGCUGCGUCAUGUCCUGCAUGCUGCCUGCCACUUACUCACCACUGGGCUGUUUGGAAGAGAAUCUUCCUCUCUGGAAGUGAGUGGAAAAGCAAAGGGAAGGCCCUCUUACUUUUGACCACUGGCUUCAUGGAAACACUUUGUAGCUGGGGGUGGUUUGCAUCUUUAAUUCUUUGAUGAUGGCGUUUAGGUACCGCACUUUAUUACUUACUACCUGAGAUGUUAUAAAGUCUGUUUUAUUUGGGGUCGGGUAUAAAUUUUUCUAGGAAAUCACCUCUCAUCUGCCGAAAAUAUUCUAUGUAGAAGUGGACUUUUGAGAUUCCGAAGGCAUUUUGGGGUCCACUCAUCCCUCUCUCAUGGGGGUUCUCUGCAUUCGAAGGCUACGUCUGAGUGGAUGAGGGAUGGACUGGUGGGCAGUCACAUUCUUUCAAGCCAGCUGUUGUUUCCUACAAGUACUGUAUGAAGACAGACAAAAACUUGUAAAUACUGUUGCCUCUACUGCUGACUGACAGAUGUAUUGCGAGGACUCAUGAUGCUGUUCAUUGUUUUUAUAGCCGUUUGAGCCACUCUAAGAAUCUAAAAUGGACCCUUUAGUUCACCUCAGGUGCAUCUUUAUAAAGCAGGGGUGUUAAAUAUCCUAGACCUGCUGUUUUAUCUCCUGCUGCAGACUGGCAGACUAGAUGAAGUCUGACUUAGUUAUUUGUUAGUUGUCAUGUUAAGGAUAAAGUUAAGGGCAAAGUUAUAAAAGCCGACAGUCCUGAAAUUACACAGCUCAGGCUGCUUAUUAUGAAGAAAAUCCUUUAGUGGGACCUCGAUGGGGAAACGGUUUGUGUCAGCCACCUGCCACAUCCCCUUGGUUGAAGGUAGUAUUGUGUGUCCUCUUGAAAAGCAUAAGGUGCCUGUAGUCCCGAGUGCUGUGACCCAGGCUCAGGGCCCGACCCUGCUGGUGGAGCAGUAGGUCUGGCUACUGGGAGACACUUACCCUGAAAGAAAAAUCUGUGUCCGUGGGGCCAGGAACAGCUGUUGCAGAGCUGGGGUCAGAACAUGCAUGCAAGAUGUACCCUGAAGAUGGGCAGGUGUAGGCUGAUGUCUGCUCACCACUGUGCUGUAGGUAUUUUUUUUUUGUCACUGGUCAGUUUGUUGUCGUUGCGGUUCUCUUUGUGAGAGUCCUUUACCUUCCUCUCUCAGGUUCCUGCAGGCCCUGGUGGAUAGAGUGGCGUAGGCAGGCCAGCUGUGUUUUGCUUUUUCUGUUGCUUGUAAAUGUACCAUGGUAACCAAAGCCCAGGCAUUUAACAUCCACACAAGCCAUCCCUUCGGCAGCAGUGGUCUUCCUCCCUUUGUGGUGGGUGACUUACCCCAAGAGAGAAGGUUGGGUAAGGUGAGCGCCUUUCUUUGCCCAUGUGCUCAUAGGCUGAUGCUGACCACGCCACUGAGCAGUUCAGGCACGUGAAGUGCUUUAUUUUCUUUACCACAGAAACUCUGAGUUUGAAGUACAGGUUACUGGGAAUCAAGGGCCACAUUCAGUAUAUAUUAUAAAGGGGAUGCUUUCAUCAAAUUGCUCUUCAAGUUUAGAGUUACUCUUCAUGUUAAUGGAGUAAGUACUAUUUAAGAAUAAACCAAAGCACAAGCAAGAGUGAGUCCCUGUAACCAAAGAUGAGCAGCAUCACCCUGGGUCACUAGAUAAACCACUGUUUGUACACAGAAGAGUUUCCUUCUUGGUGGUGAGGGGCAGGUACCUGGGAAAGAGCUUUAUAUCCUGUCUGUCCACCUGUGCUAAUAUCGCAGAUGUAUAUUACACAGAGUAGUGAGCCUGAUUUAAAUUCCUUACUUAGUCGUAUAUUAUUUGCACCACUUAGGUUGUAUCAUGUACAAUCUCUUGACCAAGCCUGUUUUUAAACUCUGGUAGAGUAUCAUUUUAUACAUAUUCCAGCUGCAGAAAUGGUAUUGCUUAAUCUCAGCAAGAGAUUGUUUGCAUGGAAAGAUUAAUAGCACAGAUUCGCUUUCUAAUAUUUUGCACUUUUUGAAAUGUUUGUUUUUUAUGCGAUUAUUUAAAACUUUAGCAAAUACUGAAAUAAAACCAUACUGACCUAUACUUUCCUGGGCUCAUCCAUCGUAAAGUAACAAGAAUCAAUACAAUAGCCAUUUCUCUUCCCCUAUGUAUUACUAAAACGAAUUUAAAAGAAGUUUGGGGCAAGAACGAAUAUGCAAGUUCUUUUCCCUUCACUGGUGAUUUAUUUAUUUAUUUUGGCUACACCCACAGCAUAUGGAAAUUCUGAGCCAGGGAUCGAAUCCAAGCUGUAGCUGUAACCUACGCCACAGCUGUGGUGAUGCCAGAUCCUUUAAUCCACUGGGCUGGGGAUUGAACCCACGUUUCUGCAGUCGGAUUCUUAACCCAGUGUCACCAUGGUGGGAACUCUGUGACUGGUGAUGGGACCCACAGCGAUUAUAAGAAAAAGAAAAAAAAGGAGGAUCACCAGCCAUCUAUUCUUUGACGUCUUCUCCGGGAUCUUGCGAUUCCAGUUUACACUUGAUCUUGCUCCAGUACUCCGGCGACACGGGAGACA